rnacentral:rRNA from 1 species
UACGUAGGGUGCAAGCGUUGCCCGGAUUUAUUGGGCGUAAAGGGCGCGCAGGCGGCUACGCACGUCCGUUGUGAAAUCGCUCGGCUCAACUGGGCGGGGUCGGCGGAUACGGCGUAGCUGGAGCAAGCUAGGGGGCAAUGGAAUUCCCGGUGUAGUGGUGGAAUGCGUAGAUAUCGGGAGGAACACCAGUGGCGAAGGCGGUUGCCUGGAGCUUUGCUGACGCUGAGACGCGAAAGCGUGGGGAGCAAACAGG